UAAAUACUAAUACCAGAUCGAUAGUGCACAAGUACCGUGAGGGAAAGGUGAAAAGAACUGAGGUGAUCAGAGUGAAAUAGAACCUGAAACCAUUUGCUUACAAUCAUUCAGAGCCCUAUGUAGCAAUACAGGGUGAUGGACUGCCUUUUGCAUAAUGAGCCUGCGAGUUGUGGUGUCUGGCAAGGUUAAGCAAACGCGAAGCCGUAGCGAAAGCGAGUCUGAAUAGGGCGCUUAGUCAGAUGCUGCAGACCCGAAACGAAGUGAUCUAUCCAUGAGCAAGUUGAAGCUAGUGUAAGAACUAGUGGAGGACUGAACCCAUAGGCGUUGAAAAGCCCCGGGAUGACUUGUGGAUAGGGGUGAAAGGCCAAUCAAACUUCGUGAUAGCUGGUUCUCUCCGAAAUAUAUUUAGGUAUAGCGUUGUGUCGUAAUAUAAGGGGGUAGAGCACUGAAUGGGCUAGGGCAUACACCAAUGUACCAAACCCUAUCAAACUCCGAAUACCUUAUAUGUAAUCACAGCAGUCAGGCGGCGAGUGAUAAAAUCCGUCGUCAAGAGGGAAACAACCCAGACUACCAGCUAAGGUCCCUAAAUCUUACUUAAGUGGAAAACGAUGUGAAGUUACUUAAACAACCAGGAGGUUGGCUUAGAAGCAGCCAUCCUUUAAAGAAAGCGUAAUAGCUCACUGGUCUAGUGAUUUUGCGCGGAAAAUAUAACGGGGCUAAAGUAAGUACCGAAGCUGUAGACUUGCACACAACUUAGAUUAUUUAAGUUUAGAAUAUGAGAAACUAAGUUAUAUGUUUAGUUAUAUUUUUACUGAUUUUUAUAGAGUAAAGAUAGAAAUAAAACUUAGUAAAAUCAGUAAAAAUAUUCUUAGACUAAAGUUAAGUAGUUUAAGUUGUGUGCAAGUGGUAGGAGAGCGUUCUAUUUGCGUCGAAGGUAUACCGGUAAGGAGUGCUGGAGCGAAUAGAAGUGAGCAUGCAGGCAUGAGUAGCGAUAAUUAAUGUGAGAAUCAUUAACGCCGUAAACCCAAGGUUUCCUACGCGAUGCUCGUCAUCGUAGGGUUAGUCGGGUCCUAAGUCGAGUCCGAAAGGGGUAGACGAUGGCAAAUUGGUUAAUAUUCCAAUACCAACAUUAGUGUGCGAUGGAAGGACGCUUAGGGCUAAGGGGGCUAGCGGAUGGAAGUGCUAGUCUAAGGUCGUAGGAGGUUAUACAGGCAAAUCCGUAUAACAAUACUCCGAGAACUGAAAGGCUUUUUGAAGUCUUCGGAUGGAUAGAAGAACCCCUGAUGCCGUCGAGCCAAGAAAAGUUUCUAAGUUUAGCUAAUGUUGCCCGUACCGUAAACCGACACAGGUGGGUGGGAUGAGUAUUCUAAGGCGCGUGGAAGAACUCUCUUUAAGGAACUCUGCAAAAUAGCACCGUAUCUUCGGUAUAAGGUGUGGUUAGCUUUGUAUUAGGAUUUACUCCGAAAGCAAGGAAACUUACAACAAAGAGUCCCUCCCGACUGUUUACCAAAAACACAGCACUCUGCUAACUCGUAAGAGGAUGUAUAGGGUGUGACGCCUGCCCGGUGCUCGAAGGUUAAUUGAUGGGGUUAGCAUUAGCGAAGCUCUUGAUCGAAGCCCGAGUAAACGGCGGCCGUAACUAUAACGGUCCUAAGGUAGCGAAAUUCCUUGUCGGUUAAAUACCGACCUGCAUGAAUGGCGUAACGAGAUGGGAGCUGUCUCAAAGAGGGAUCCAGUGAAAUUGUAGUGGAGGUGAAAAUUCCUCCUACCCGCGGCAAGACGGAAAGACCCCGUGGACCUUUACUACAGCUUGACACUGCUACUUGGAUAAGAAUGUGCAGGAUAGGUGGGAGGCUUUGAGUAUAUGACGCCAGUUGUAUAUGAGCCAUUGUUGAGAUACCACUCUUUCUUAUUUGGGUAGCUAACCAGCUUGAGUUAUCCUCAAGUGGGACAAUGUCUGGUGGGUAGUUUGACUGGGGCGGUCGCCUCCCAAAUAAUAACGGAGGCUUACAAAGGUUGGCUCAGAACGGUUGGAAAUCGUUCGUAGAGUAUAAAGGUAUAAGCCAGCUUAACUGCAAGACAUACAAGUCAAGCAGAGACGAAAGUCGGUCUUAGUGAUCCGGUGGUUCUGUGUGGAAGGGCCAUCGCUCAAAGGAUAAAAGGUACCCCGGGGAUAACAGGCUGAUCUCCCCCAAGAGCUCACAUCGACGGGGAGGUUUGGCACCUCGAUGUCGGCUCAUCGCAUCCUGGGGCUGGAGCAGGUCCCAAGGGUAUGGCUGUUCGCCAUUUAAAGCGGUACGCGAGCUGGGUUCAGAACGUCGUGAGACAGUUCGGUCCCUAUCUGCCGUGGGCGUAAGAAGAUUGAAGAGAUUUGACCCUAGUACGAGAGGACCGGGUUGAACAAACCACUGGUGUAGCUGUUGUUCUGCCAAGAGCAUCGCAGCGUAGCUAAGUUUGGAAAGGAUAAACGCUGAAAGCAUCUAAGCGUGAAGCCAACUCUAAGAUGAAUCUUCUCUAAGCUCUCUAGAAGACUACUAGUUUGAUAGGCUGGGUGUGUAAUGGAUGAAAGUCCUUUAGCUGACCAGUACUAAUAGAGCGUUUG
rnacentral:rRNA from 1 species